rnacentral:lncRNA from 1 species
AAGUGGUGUGGAGAUUUAUGAUUCUUUCUCUCUCUGUAAUUGAAGUCUUCACUCUCAAAUAAGCAGCAAAAAUAUCCCAGUAGAGAAAUGAAGUUGACACCGCCAAUAAAAGAUAACAUUUUUAUAUUUGGAAGCUGGUGGCGAGAAUGGUGUCCUACUAGAACUUUAUCUGCUAAAAUUUGUGUGCAAUUGAAUGGAAAUAAUGAGCCAAGAAUCCAGGAUACCUACUAGCAUGCGAUGAAGGUAAACAAAUGCUCAUUUGCCUAUUAGUAAUGAAUAAAGACAAUCUCAUUUCUCAAACUUCUUCCUUGCCGUCGAGGACUACUACACGGCGUUCAACAAGAAAGAUAGUUGUCGGAGAUGAAGGUGAAAAGGAGGUUUCAAUUGAAACUCCGGCGUUUGCAGCGACUACUGGAAAGAGGGCUCACGUGUCGAUGGUUCGGAGAAAAGUUCAGACUCAAUUUGAAGAGGAGGAAAUUGAAAACGAGAAAAAGAGUUUUCCACCAAUCCUGCUCCAUUGGGGACUACUGACGGGAGAAAGGUAUGUGUAUAUAGAGAGAGAGAUUCCAAUGGAAAAUUAUAAGUAUUCCAUGUACACUAUCUGACAGUUUCUCCGUACAUAUAGCACUUCUUGUUGAAUAAUCAAUGUACCAGUCUUGUUUUCACCGUCCAACCAUCUAUCGAAACAGUCCCCAUGACCCCACGCCAACCCCACCUCUGGAAACUUCAAUGCUUUACCCACUAUCUGCCAAAACUUAACUUUAAUUUCUUAGUCGCUCGUUGGUUCAAGUAUUGAUAGAUUUUCUCUGUUUUUCCAAUACCCAUAUGGUUAUGAGUAUGAAUUCCAGCUUUGUGGCGAGUUCUCGCGAUCCGAGAUAUGCACUGAAACUUUUAGUGUCACCCCAUCAAAGAUUGAUCAACUCCAAUUUACUGUAUCGGAAAUGUAGACCAUUUCGUGUGCCUAGAAAUCAAAUGUUUCGAGUAUACUGCGACUCGCAGGUGACUGACCAGUACACUUUUGUGUUUGGAUGUAAUUACUGUAAUUUGUUCUUGAACGCACUUUUAUGAUGUUG